rnacentral:rRNA from 1 species
AAUGAACGCUGGCGGCAUGCCUUACACAUGCAAGUCGAACGGCAGCAUGACCUAGCUUGCUAGGUUGAUGGCGAGUGGCGAACGGGUGAGUAAUGCAUCGGAACGUGCCUUUUAGUGGGGGAUAACGUAGCGAAAGUUACGCUAAUACCGCAUAUUCUCUGAGGAGGAAAGCAGGGGACCUUCGGGCCUUGCGCUAGAAGAGCGGCCGAUGUCGGAUUAGCUAGUUGGUGAGGUAAAGGCUCACCAAGGCAACGAUCCGUAGCGGGUCUGAGAGGAUGAUCCGCCACACUGGGACUGAGACACGGCCCAGACUCCUACGGGAGGCAGCAGUGGGGAAUUUUGGACAAUGGGCGCAAGCCUGAUCCAGCCAUGCCGCGUGAGUGAAGAAGGCCUUCGGGUUGUAAAUCUCUUUCGGCUGGGAAGAAAUCGCACCCUCUAAUACAGGGUGUGGAUGACGGUACCAGCAUAAGAAGCACCGGCUAACUACGUG